rnacentral:lncRNA from 1 species
GAAUUGGUCACGUUCGGUGAAAUGUACUCCUACACUUCACCUGUAUGGCAUAUCAGUGUCUCCACACUCCUUGGUUAAGAGGACAACCAACGUAUAUAUCACACAACAACCUAAUCUCGAUAAUGUUGUCGUCCUAGUAACAACAUAUCAUUUGGUCGCGAACAAGUUUAAGGACUCAAAGAUAAAUCCUCCUUUAUCAUAACAUAAGUCCUAAGGACUU